UGGGGGAUAUUGCACAAUGGGCGAAAGCCUGAUGCAGCGACGCCGCGUGGGGGAUGAAGGCUUUCGGGUUGUAAACCUCUUUCGCUAUCGAACAAGGCCCGCUUAGGGUGGGUUGAGGGUAGGUGGAGAAGAAGCGCCGGCUAACUACGUGCCAGCAGCCGCGGUAAUACGUAGGGCGCGAGCGUUGUCCGGAAUUAUGGGGCGUAAAGGGCUUGUAGGCGGCUUGUUGCGCCUGCUGUGAAAACGCGGGGCUUAACUUCGCGCGUGCAGUGGGUACGGGCAGGCUUGAGUGUGGUAGGGGUGACUGGAAUUCCAGGUGUAGCGGUGGAAUGCGCAGAUAUCUGGAGGAACACCGAUGGCGAAGGCAGGUCACUGGGCCAUUACUGACGCUGAGGAGCGAAAGCAUGGGUAGCGAACAGG
rnacentral:rRNA from 1 species